UCCUCGUUUUUUUUUAAAAAAAAAACUUUCCAAACUCUUUUUCUCUCAACUCUCUCAGCCUCUCCUUUGAAAUCCCAUCAGGACACCGGCGAGCUUUCGCGGUGGCUCCGCCGCGCCGGAAGGUAGAAAAUGUUUUAAAAACCCUUUUUUUAAAAAAAAAACCGAUUUGGGUUUUUUUUUAAACUGAAAACGAAGAUGAAAAGAGAAGGAAAGUGAGAAUGCCUUUCGACCCCCUUUUGUUUCCCUUGUAUGCCCCCUUUUGAAACCCAAACGAAACUCCAAAGAGUUUCUAUGGUUUUCACGACGGAGAAGAACUCCGAUGGUGGCCAAGAACGUAGGAAAAUAGGUACUAGGCCAGCUGUGGCGUAUGGAGGAGGUGACGUGGCGUGCGAUGGUGCGUGGAGGCCAUACAAAGGCUGGGUUGCGGUGCACCUAGGGGUUGGCGCUAGGGUUUGCUGAAGUUGUUUGUGUUUUGGGCCCUUUUGGGCUUGUUUCCAUUGUUGGGCCACCGGGUUUUGUAUUUUUUGGGGCUUGGGGCUUGGGGUUUUAGUAUCUUGGAUUUUAGGCUUAGAUUGGGCCCGUUAUUUGUAAUGGACUGCUGUAAAAUGGAUUGUUUUAAUGGAUUUUAGUAUUUGGGUUUU